rnacentral:rRNA from 1 species
GACGAACGCUGGCGGCGUGCUUAACACAUGCAAGUCGAACGAUGAACCCGGAGCUUGCUCCGGUGGAUUAGUGGCGAACGGGUGAGUAACACGUGAGUAACCUGCCCUUGACUCUGGGAUAACUGCGGGAAACUGUAGCUAAUACCGGAUACGACCCUCGGCGGCAUCGCCAGGGGGUGGAAAGAAUUUCGGUCAAGGAUGGACUCGCGGCCUAUCAGCUGGUUGGUGAGGUAACGGCUCACCAAGGCGACGACGGGUAGCCGGCCUGAGAGGGUAACCGGCCACACUGGGACUGAGACACGGCCCAGACUCCUACGGGAGGCAGCAGUGGGGAAUAUUGCACAAUGGGCGCAAGCCUGAUGCAGCAACGCCGCGUGAGGGAUGACGGCUUUCGGGUUGUAAACCUCUUUUAGUAGGGAAGAAGCGAAAGUGACGGUACCUGCAGAAAAAGCACCGGCUAACUACGUGCCAGCAGCCGCGGUAA